rnacentral:lncRNA from 1 species
UUUACCUCCUCGUGAUCACAGAGCAUCUCCUGAUAUUCAGUUCAUAUCUGAUCAUGAGGCUGGUCCCUCAGAAUCAGUGAGGAGGCAUGCUUCAGUUCCACAGUCAGGGAGUAGGGUACAUCCUUCAGAGUUUAGACUUACAGAUGAUCAGAUUGAGUUGAUAUCCCAACAUAUUGCCUCUAUUUUAUCUUAGCAGUUUGCCACCUCAAUCUUUGCUCAG